GCCCGGAUAGCUCAGUCGGUAGAGCAGAGGAUUGAAAAUCCUCGUGUCGGUGGUUCGAUUCCUCCUCCGGGCACCA
rnacentral:tRNA from 1 species